rnacentral:sRNA from 1 species
AGAUGCUUCUGGGUCGCGGUGUGCUGAGCUAGGAGUCCGAGUGUGUGAGCUUGAGAGCCGCGCGCUAGGGCGACCCGGCGAGGGAUGGCGGCCACCGGGACCGCGGCUGCCGCAGCCACGGGCUCUUGCAGCCAAUGCCGGAACAGGAUUUGCUGUUGCUGAGCCUCAAAUCGCAAUGUUUUGUGGGAAGUUAAAUAUGCAUGUGAACAUUCAGACCGGGAAAUGGGAACCUGAUCCAACAGGCACCAAGAGCUGCUUUGAAACAAAAGAAGAAGUUCUUCAGUACUGUCAGGAGAUGUAUCCAGAGCUACAGAUCACAAAUGUGAUGGAGGCAAACCAGCGGGUCAGUAUUGACAAUUGGUGCCGGAGGGACAAAAAGCAAUGCAAGAGUCGCUUUGUUACACCUUUCAAGUGUCUUGUGGGUGAAUUUGUAAGUGAUGUUCUGCUAGUUCCAGAAAAGUGCCAGUUUUUCCACAAAGAGCGGAUGGAGGUGUGCGAGAAUCACCAGCACUGGCACACGGUAGUCAAAGAGGUAAG